AGAGUUUGAUCCUGGCUCAGAAUGAACGUUGGCGGCGUGGAUUAGGCAUGCAAGUCGCGCGAGAAGUGUAGCAAUACAUGGAAAGCGGCGAAAGGGAGAGUAAUACAUAGGUACGUACCCUUGGGACUGGGAUAGCGGCGGGAAACUGCCGGUAAUACCGGAUGACCUCUUCGGAGCAAAGGUGUGACUCCGCCCUUGGAGCGGCCGACGUGGUACCAGCUAGACGGCGGGGUAACGGCCCACCGUGGCUGCGACGCCUAGGGGGCGUGAGAGCGCGACCCCCACCACUGGGACUGAGACACUGCCCAGACACCUACGGGUGGCUGCAGUCGAGAAUCUUCGGCAAUGGGCGCAAGCCUGACCGAGCGACGCCACGUGCGGGAUGACGGCCCUCGGGUUGUAAACCGCUGUCGGGGGGGAUGAAGUCACGGGGGGUACUCCCCUCGUGUUGACAGAGCCCCGGAGGAAGCGCGGGCUAAGUACGUGCCAGCAGCCGCGGUAAUUC
rnacentral:rRNA from 1 species